UAAUGUCACUUAUUAUAGAUCUUGCAAUCUACGAGCGCGCGGCACCCUUAGUUGUGUGAGUGACCAUAUCUACACACGCAUACAUGGCUCGCUCGCUACUGACUGCUCCGUCAGGUAAGCACACUUACGAAAAUGUCUAUAUUACAAUUACAACUACAAAUAAAGGCUACGCGCAUUCGUAGAUUGCAACAACUAUAACAGAACGAGAGAGUGCUCUUUUGUAUGUAGAU